GAUGAACGCUAGCGGGAGGCCUAACACAUGCAAGCCGAGCGGUAUUUGUUCUUCGGAACAGAGAGAGCGGCGCACGGGUGCGGAACACGUGUGCAACCUGCCUUUAUCUGGGGGAUAGCCUUUCGAAAGGAAGAUUAAUACCCCAUAAUAUAUUGAGUGGCAUCAUUUGAUAUUGAAAACUCCGGUGGAUAGAGAUGGGCACGCGCAAGAUUAGAUAGUUGGUGAGGUAACGGCUCACCAAGUCAAUGAUCUUUAGGGGGCCUGAGAGGGUGAUCCCCCACACUGGUACUGAGACACGGACCAGACUCCUACGGGAGGCAGCAGUGAGGAAUAUUGGACAAUGGGUUAGCGCCUGAUCCAGCCAUCCCGCGUGAAGGACGACGGCCCUAUGGGUUGCAAACUUCUUUUGUAUAGGGAUAAACCUACUCUCGUGAGAGUAGCUGAAGGUACUAGACGAAUAAGCACCGGCUAACUCCGUG
rnacentral:rRNA from 1 species